rnacentral:tRNA from 1 species
UCCCGUUUAGCUCAGUCGGUAGAGCACGCCCCUUUUAAGGGCGGAGUCGUCAGUUCGAGUCUGAUAACGGGAA